CAAUCUGUCCAUGUCUGUCAGUUUAUAUCUGUGUUUUCCUUUUGUUGCAUGAUUGUUGUUCUACGUUUCAUGUUAUGAACACUGAGAAAUUGCCCUGCGCCUCUUCGCUAGGAGCCUAGCACAGCUGGAGAAGCCCUGCCAGGAGCUGAUUGUGGCUUCUAUGGAUGCCGAAGGAAUGUGGUAGCUGCCAGAGUGAUUGGUGAGACAUGCUGAUUACGGGACAAAGAAUGGUGCUGACUGUGAGCUUGCUGCAUGCCCUGACAGUGGUGACAGGGGAAAGUUUAUUGGGCCUAUGUUCCUGACCUACCACUGAUACAUCCAGCAGUGUGGUCCAGACCAGAGAUUCCCAUGCUUGGGUCUCCCUGGACAGAGGAGCCAACUUAUAAUAAGACUAAGACUUUCAAUGCAUUUGGUGAUGGGAUUUGUUUGCUCUGUGAAGAAUAGUAUGGGUGUAUUUCUGUGUUUCCUUAAAAUUGGAACCUUUUAUUAA
ensembl:antisense Gm13209 predicted gene 13209